CAUGAAGCUGGAAUCGCUAGUAAUCGCGGAUCAGAAUGCCGCGGUGAAUACGUUCCCGGGUCUUGUACACACCGCCCGUCACACCAUGGGAGUCGGAAAUGCCCGAAGCCGGUGACUCAACCUUUAAGGAGAGAGCCGUGAAGGCAGGUCUGAUAACUGGGGGUGAAGUCGUAACAAGGUAGC
rnacentral:rRNA from 1 species